CACAGAGGUCCCGAGCGUUGUUCGGAUUCACUGGGCGUAAAGGGUGCGUAGGUGGUUGGGUAAGUUUGAGGUGAAAGCUCCGAGCCUAACUCGGAAAAUGCCUUGAAGACUAUCUGACUAGAGGAUUGGAGGGGAGAUUGGAAUUCUCGGUGUAGCAGUGAAAUGCGUAGAUAUCGAGAGGAACACCAGUGGCGAAGGCGAAUCUCUGGACAAUUCCUGACACUGAGGCACGAAAGCCAAGGGAGCGAACGGG
rnacentral:misc_RNA from 1 species